rnacentral:rRNA from 1 species
GAUGAACGCUGGCGGCGUGCCUAAUACAUGCAAGUCGAGCGAAUGGAUUAAGAGCUUGCUCUUAUGAAGUUAGCGGCGGACGGGUGAGUAACACGUGGGUGACCUGCCCAUAAGACUGGGAUAACUCCGGGAAACCGGGGCUAAUACCGGAUAACAUUUUGAACCGCAUGGUUCGAAAUUGAAAGGCGGCCUCGGCUGUCAAUUAUGGAUGGACCCGCGUCGCAUUGGCUAGUUGGUGAGGUAACGGCUCACCAAGGCAACGAUGCGUAGCCGACCUGAGAGGGUGAUCGGCCACACUGGGACUGAGACACGGCCCAGACUCCUACGGGAGGCAGCAGUAGGGAAUCUUCCGCGAUGGACGAAAGUCUGACGGAGCAACGCCGCGUGAGUGAUGAAGGCUUUCGGGUCGUAAAACUCUGUUGUUAGGGAAGAACAAGUGCUAGUUGAAUAAGCUGGCACCUUGACGGUACCUAACCAGAAAGCCACGGCUAACUACGUGCCAGCCGCCGCGGUAA